rnacentral:pre_miRNA from 1 species
UUUAGGUGGGGAUGUUGGGACAAUUCAAUCAAAUCAAAUCUCCUAAUGACUGGGUCCUUUGCUUUGAUUGAGUCGUGCCAAUAUCAGUUCCUGCUAA